GGUGACUGAUAGAAAAGCACCUACCAAGAAGUCAAACUAGUAGGUUUUAAUUUUUUUGAGUUAUUUCCAUAGCUUCUUGAUUACACAUGUAGCCCCAAAGGUCACUGUUGCUUAAAGCUGUGGGAGUGCAGGUGUCAUUUCAGAAACCAGUUUGUCUUUCUGAUAAUAAUGACACAUUUUGGCCAUACGGCACUCAUUUCCACAGAUAAGUUGUUCUUGCUAUUUUAGACUGUGUCUAUUACAGUAAAGAUAUUGACCUUGGCAAGACACAAUUGACAUAUAGAUAGAGGCUGAUUUUUUUUUUUUUGUCAUUUUUCAAUAAUCCAGUAUAAAUGCUAAUUUAUUUCUGUGGCAGCUCACCUAAAAGCAAUAGUUUCUUCUAAAUAAUCAGCAGUAGUCACUCAUUGCCGAGGUACAGUGUUGUGAUCACGGCUGAUGGCAGUUUGCCUUGAUUCUGCUCUUACCAAUAAUUUGCAGAGAUUAAAAAGGUCUUGGAAAUGGAAGCUUAAAGAAUUGCUUUCUAAAGACGUUGUUAGAUUGAAAAAGGAACCUGGGGUUUCCAGUGCACUCUAAAAUCAUUUCCACAUAAACCCCAGAUUUAGUAGUUUUAAGUGUCGCUAAAUGGCCUGUUCACGGGGAAGGGAUGAUGUUUAUGCGGCACGGAGAGAUCUCGGCUCCCGCUGCAGACGUGGCUCCUGCUGUCCGUGCCCAGCCGGGUGCUGUCUCCUCGCCAGGGAUGUCGACACCUGGGCAGCAGCUGCAGGAGGCAUUUUCGCAGACUUUGGUGGCUCUGCUUACACAGAAUAGUCACUGGCAGACGUAGGCGGCAGGGGUGGUCUCCUCACUGAACCUGGCACCUGCCCACCCUGAGGGCCCCCCGCCCCAUCCAUCUUUGCUUGAUGACAAUUACCAUUACACAAUUACCGUUUGCAUUUUUUUUCCCUUGUGACUGCAGGCGUUGCACAUUUUGCUGCUUGGGAUGAACACUGAAUGCCUUGGACAUCUCAAAGCUUCCCUGAGAGCUGCGCACGCUUGAUGGAGUUUCCCUUGGGACUGCCUCUCCGGCCAACCCUCACAGCUCUUCUGGUGCUGUGCUUUGGGCCCAAGUCCUCUCCUGGGAGCCCCCGUCACCCUGCCCUGGGAGAGGACUCUUUUUCCUGCAAGACGUGGGCAGCACAUCCGGAAGGCUGUGGGGAGAGGAAGCUCUGCUGCAUGCUGUUUGCAACCUGCACACCUCCAUCAGCCCCAGUGGGCGCUCCCAUCAGUGGUGUGACCAAAGGAUAGGAAUACCAUGCCUGCCCUGAGCUCAGGGGUGGCAUGGAAAUGGUGCUCCUACAGCUGGGGCAGAGCAGGGCCUCUCCUGGCUACCUGGUGCUGUAGAGCUGCAUGUUCCAGGAGUAAUCACCGCUUUUAUUUUACUGGUGUGUAUGUGACCUUAGAUGCUAAAAGGGUCCUGAGCCUUUAAGCCCCCCAAAUCUCCCCCAUUUUAUGUACUUCCUGGGGUCAGAGGGGGUGCUUGAAUCCUUGAGGUUUUGUCUCUGAGUUUAACUGGUAUACUGCUGGUUUGUGUUCUUGGCACUAAAAACCAAGAGCUGUCAGAAUACAUAUACGCUGUUCUAAGGUACUCUUUCCUUAAACAGCUGAAAUAGUUCAGCCUGUUUGACCAGACCAGGCUGUGAUAACGCUGUUUUACACAAUUUAUUCUGAGCAGCUUUGCUUGCAGUUUUCCUGAUGGAUAACUUUCUCCCUGAAAUGGUACUAAACCCCAUGAAAUACAGCAGAUCUCUAUGAAGAAUUGAGGGACUCUGAUGUUUGCUUAAGUCAAUCUGCAGCAAUUCCAGGCAGGUUGUUCUGAGCUCUCUGAUUUGUACAUUGCAUUUUGAAUGUUUCCUAUUGGUAGCAUUGAGAAGGUUCCUGGCAGUUAAAUCCCCAAUGUGUAAGUGGAAUUAGGGGCCAUUGUAUGCAUCCCAGUUAUCUCUGACUGUUCUAACCUUAUUUGUGUAAAACAAUAAAACACCUAACCAUUAAAAGGAGAUGUGAGUCAUGUUUUUAGAUGACUUUUGCCUGAUGUGUAAAACUUUGAGGAAAUAAUUUGUUAGAUUUGCAUGCCAGCACAUACCUGUGGUAGGGGAAGGGAAGAGCACGCUGCUCUCAGACCCUCCUUGUUAUCUGUGGGAAAGGCUUUUUAUAUUCGGUGACCAGCCAAGCUUGCAGAGUGCUGUGGACCGUGCUGUUGGCCUGGGGUGCCUGCAGGAGGGAAAGACUGUGCACCCAGCUGCCUGGCGUUGGUCUCCUGUCCUCGUUUCCCAGCCCAAUGCCUGUCCCUCGCAUUGGAGCAGC
rnacentral:lncRNA from 1 species